CGGCAGACAAUCGCUCGCGCCAGCGAGAGGAAAGUCCGGACACCGCAGGGCAAUCCGCCGGUUGUGAAAACCGGGCGCUGACGGUCAAGCGUCAGUGACGGACAGUGUCACAGAAAACAAACCGCCACGAGCGUCAACGCAGUGGCAAGGGUGAAACGGUGGGGCAAGAGCCUACCGCGCGAAGGGCGACCGACGCGGCACGACAAACCCCGGAUGGUGCAAGGUUAAACAGGAAGCGAUGGCGGCCCGCCAUGCCGCAAGGCAGCUUCCGGGUAAACCGCCGCCUUGGUUGACAAGGCUGUCGCCGGCGACGGCGGCAAGAUAAAUGAUUGUCGCUCCGCAAGGAGCACAGAAUCCGGCUUAUCGCCGCAAC
rnacentral:RNase_P_RNA from 1 species